AUCCUUUUGUAGUUUGUAAGUAUGAUGAUUGGGAUUUCAAGCUCAUGUGUGGGACGUGCCUCCCUCAAACCUUGUUAUGAUGUCAGCACAUUACUCAUCUGAUG
rfam:Nomascus leucogenys chromosome 17, whole genome shotgun sequence.